GACGAACCGUACAAACGUUAUUCGGAAUCACUGGGCUUAAAGGGUGCGUAGGCGGCGGUGCAAGUUGGGUGUGAAAUCCCUCGGCUCAACCGAGGAACUGCGCUCAAAACUGCAUUGCUUGAGGGAGAUAGAGGUGAGUGGAACUUAGGGUGGAGCGGUGAAAUGCGUUGAUAUCCACAGGAACUCCGGUGGCGAAGGCGGCGUGCUGGACCCCAUCUGACGCUGAGGCGCGAAAGCCAGGGGAGCAAACGGG
rnacentral:rRNA from 1 species